rnacentral:rRNA from 1 species
CACGUAGGGUGCGAGCGUUGUCCGGAAUUAUUGGGCGUAAAGGGUAGGUAGGUGGUCUCGUUUGUCUGGGGUGAAAGCCUUGAGCUUAACUCAAGAAGUGCCCUAGAAACGGCGAGACUAGAGUCCUGGAGAGGGUCGUGGAAUUCCCGGUGUAGCGGUGAAAUGCGUAGAGAUCGGGAGGAACACCAGAGGCGAAGGCGGCGACCUGGACAGGUACUGACACUCAACUACGAAAGCGUGGGGAGCAAACAGG